AACAUUCUUGCUUGAUAUGUCUCUAUGAACAAUUGGUGGUAUGCACUCGUGGUGCAUGUGGUCCAAGGCAUAAGCUACAUCUUUUUAUAACCGUGAGCCUUUUACCCCAGUCAAAUUCUUUUGCAGCUUCAUCAUUGCACAGAAUCAUGGCCAGGCUACCCCUAGGGAGGUACUCGUAAACUAGAAAUAUGUGUCAGACGUGUGAACAAAAAACAUAGAGUUUUACAACAUUUCGAUGCCUUGCUUCUGUUAAUACCCUUAUCUCAUUCAGGAAUUCUUUCUGAUCUGCCAUCUCAUCAUGAGGUAACGAAUGGAAUUUCUUUGCAGCAACAGUAUCACACGAUAACAAUUCUGCUCUGGAGACACGUCCAAAUCUGCCCUCUCAAAUACAGUACAUGCUGUCAAAAUUCUUGGUUGCUUCUAUGAUUUCUCGGUGCAUUAUUUUUCCAUCGAAAAUUGAUAUGGAAAGCAACUCUUCGUUAUUCA
rnacentral:misc_RNA from 1 species